UAUUGUCUCCUAGAGAGUUCUGGCAUCCUCUGUGAUGUCACCAGUGUUGUAGUGACAACCAGUGCCCUAGUUUCUCUCAGUCUGAGUCUGGCAGUUGCAAGCUAAGACAUGUUUUCCCGUCUUCGCAAGCGUUUUGGGAGGGGGAACGUCGAUUGUGGAGAGACUAGAGUGAAGGAGUCUAGCCUUUCCUCUCAAAGUAAUUAUGGACAAAGACAGCACUUCUGGGGAAUGUUCAGUUCACUUGUGUUCUUCUACCUAAAGACGCUGGGAGAGAAACAUCUUCCCCUGAAACUGCCCUAAGCGAGAAGCAGGCCAAGAAGGAAAAGGAGAGGCUGAUUAAAGAGCUGCAGCUCAUUACCGAGGAGAGAAAUGACCUGAGAUAUCGCCUGAGGUUUCUGACAGAGAGAUCCAAGAACAACAGGCCACACUUCAGGCCAAAUCCGUAUUACGAAGACCUGGAGAGAAUGGAGGAGGCGGUCAUGUCAAUUCUGCACAACUUAGAGAUGGAGAACACUGAGAUCCAUGAGAACAGCCAUAAGCUGAAGAAGGAGAUUACCUUCUCUAGGUAAGUCCUGGUCAGAAAGGCUAUCACCUGUGGAAUGGCCAUUUCUGAUUUCUUUGUUAUGGAUUGGAAGGUCUUCAGCUAUGAUUCUAUCUCUUGUGCUGUUUACACAUCAGUGUGCCAGGGUCAUUAGGACUCAGUUUUCAGUUCCAUAAAAGACUGUUACUCAUCCCAGGAUUGUCUAGGCAUCUUCAGAAGGCUCCAGAUAGAACAGUAGUGAUUGAAGUCAGCAGAAGGUUAUUAGGCUGACCUGGACCUAUGGUGUCAUACCAGGUUUUACAAAACUUAGUGCGUGGACCACAUGGUUAGCAUGACCUUCUCUUGGUUCUACUGACCUGCUUUGAGGGUGUUUGCCAACUACUAAUUGAUGUUGCCCCCAUGCAUUGGGCUUUCAUGGAUAGUUGUAGAUCCAUGUUCUUUUUGAGAGAUGCGGACACUAAUUGGUGCUCGGCCCAAACAAACAAUUUAUUCUUCCUGGAAUUAACUCUUUGUGGUUUGUGCAGCAGCCUUAUAUGUAUCGAGAUGUAUUUUAUUAACUCUUCAUGGGUACCUGGAACCUGGUAUGGUUAGUGGGACUUGGGAGUAGGAAUGGGAGAAAGGGCCAGCAUGAUCUUACUAUGCAGACUGUAUUUCCAGAAACCUGCUCAGCCAGCUCCUGAUGGAGAACACAUGUAGGAAGAAGUUGGUCCCACAGAAGCAGGGGAGCAAGGAGGGACAUCUUGAUUGUGCACUGAACCAGAAAUAUUUGGUUGACUUCAACCAGAAAGAUAAAGACCAGCAACGUCCAGAUCCAGCAUCAUCAGGUCUCAGAAAGUGCAAGAGAGCUGGAAUUGGACACACACCAGUAAGAGAGCUUCCUGAAGAAUGAGUUGCUUUCUCAGGAGUCCCUGAUGACAAACAUCCUGAAUGAAAACAGCACUUGAGAGACAACUUGGGGGACUGCCUUUCAUUAUGUGUGCUAGAGGAGAAACAGCAAUACGUCUAUGCUUCUAAAUGUUCGUUAAGAAUAUGCUCUUUAGAAAUAUUUUUGUUUUGAUUUUCAUUGAAGUUUUCUUUUUGUUGUUUCAUAUUUAUAUGUUCUUGUUACUAUUUUUCACUUUGAAAUAUUUUUAAAUAUUUUUAUUCAUUUUAAUCCUGUUUUGUUGUCAAAAUGUAUUUGUUAUCAAUAAAAAUUGAAUUCUA